rnacentral:rRNA from 3 species
UCAUAGAAUUUUUUAAAAUUCAUGAUGUCGUAAGGGAAAAUAAUGAUAAUACCUUACUAUGAGUGUCGUCCAAAUCUGGUGCCAGAAGACUCGGUAAGACCAGAGACGCAAACGUUAAUCAUCAUAAACAGGCGUAAAGGGUUUGUAGGCAGCUUUUAUAGGAUUAUUAUAAAAAGGUAAUCUAAAUUAAAAGCUAGAAUCAAAAAGAGGUUAUAGUGUAUAACGCCUAGAGGAGGGCUGAUAUCCGUAGAUCCUAGGCAGAAUACUCAGGGCGAAGGCCACUCUCCAUUAAUGAUUGACGCUGAGAAACGAAGGUUAGGGUAGGAAAUAGGAUUAGAUACCCCGGUACUCCUUUCUGUAAACGAUGAAUGGUAGUCAUUAGUAAAAAUAACUAGAGGCGAAGUUAACACAAUAACCAUUCCGCCUUGUGAGUACUACUGCAAAGUAGAAAACAAAAAAAUUAGUCGGUCUCGAAGCAAACGGAGUGAAGCAUGUUAUUUA